rnacentral:misc_RNA from 1 species
GAUGAAGAACGCAGCGAAAUGCGAUAAGUAAUGUGAAUUGCAGAAUUCAGUGAAUCAUCGAAUCUUUGAACGCAUCUUGCGCUCCUUGGUAUUCUGAGGAGCAUGCCUGUUUGAGUGUCAUUAAAUUCUCAACUACACUGACUUUGAAUUGGUGUGGCUUGGAUUUGGGGGGAAAAUUGUUGUGGGCUUUUUGUAUAGUCUGCUCCCCUGAAAUUGAUUAGCGGUACCUUUGUGGAACUGUCUACAGGUGUGAUAAUUAUCUACAUCUUAGACAUCUGCUGGAAUGCUGCUUUCUAAACCUUACUUGUAUUGACAAUCUUGACCUCAAAUCAGGUAGGACUACCCGCUGAACUUAAGCGUAUCAAUAAGCGGAGGA